AGAAUACAAAUUUAGAAGAGGAUGUUUAUGAUCCAAAAGAUUUGACAUACGAACACCUCACUGCUUUUCAUACAGAUGCAGUUUUUGUGCAUGAAAUGGAAAUGAUGACCAAGAAUCAAGGAAAAGACAACGGAAUAACUGAUGAAAAAUCGGGAACAGUAAAUAAAAUAAAAGAAGAAGAUAAAAGGAAAACAAACCCGCCGGAAAAAGAAAUUACAGAAAAGUAACUAGGAGAACUACUGUUUUAUUUAGAAGGGGUUAACGCACGAGUAUGUCUUUUCAAUUGUGACGUGGUUAUUAUAA